GAGUUUGAUUAUGGCUCAGAACGAACGUUAGCGGUGUGGAUUAGGCAUGCAAGUCGAGCGUGAAAGGCGCAAGCCGAGUAAAGCGGCGAAAGGGUGAGUAACACGUAACCAACCUGUCCCCGAGACCGGGAUAACUGCGGAAACGCGGGCUAAUACCGGAUGGCCCUGAUGAAAGGCAUCUUUUGUCGGGUAAAUGGCGUAAGCCGCUGGGGGAGGGGGUUGCGGCCUAUCAGCUAGUUGGCGGGGUAAUGGCCCACCAAGGCUAUGACGGGUACCCGGUCUGAGAGGAUGGUCGGGCACACUGGGACUGAGACACUGCCCAGACUCCUACGGGAGGCUGCAGUCGAGGAUCUUCCGCAAUGGGCGAAAGCCUGACGGAGCGACACCGCGUGCAGGAUGAAGGCCUUCGGGUUGUAAACUGCUUUAGCGCCAUAGGAACUCCGCAAGGAUUGACUAAAGCGUAAAUAAGCAACGGCUAACUCUGUGCCAGCAGCCGCGGUAAGACAGAGGUUGCAAACGUUGUUCGGAAUCACUGGGCAUAAAGCGCACGUAGGCGGCUAGCUAAGUCAGGUGUGAAAUCCCCCGGCUCAACCGGGGAACUGCGCCUGAUACUGGCCGGCUCGAGGACGGUAGGGGUGAGUGGAACUCCAGGUGGAGCGGUGAAAUGCGUAGAUAUCUGGAGGAACACCGGUGGCGAAAGCGGCUCACUGGACCGUCUCUGACGCUGAGGUGCGAAAGCUAGGGUAGCAAACGGGAUUAGAUACCCCGGUAGUCCUAGCCGUAAACGAUGGGCACUUGGUAAGGGGGAUUCCUAUGGUCCUCCUUGCCGUAGCUAAUGUGUUAAGUGCCCCGCCUGGGGAGUACGCUCGCAAGGGUAAAACUCAAAUGAAUUGACGGGG
rnacentral:rRNA from 1 species